CCCCCCCCCCCUCACAGCGGGGUCUGAGGGCACCGGGCCCGGGGCUGGGCGGGGAGCGGGGAUCGCACGGCGGCACCGGCACCGGGGGCCCGCGGGGAACGGCCCUGGGCCCCUCUGAGCGCCCGAGAGAGCCCCGCGCUCCUUCCCGCCGUCACCGGAGCGGCUCCCCCCGGCUCCCGACGGCGGCCGGCCUUCGGGGGCAUCCCGCCAGCUCUUGAGGUGGCGAAGGGCGGAUUUUCAUGGGGAAAGGGCUGCCGUGGCACUGUGGAUGGCCUCGUGAAGCAGGUUUUUCCUGCAUCUGGGAAUUGGGACUCUGGGUGGUUAAUGGAAGGAAUCAGCAUGUGGGAUCUGGUUCCUGCUGUUCCCAGGAAAGGUGGUGCCUCUGCAGGGACACGAGUGGUGCCAGGCUGGCAGUGUCACCGACCCCCUCACCCGGGAUGAUCUGUCCUGUGUUUGCACUGGGGGUGUCAUCAGAGCCUGGUCAGGAGAGGUGGAACCAGCACUUGGCAUCACGAGAGAGAACGCAGUGGCACGAGUUCACAGUGCACAUGCUUGGAAGUCAUGGAAUGAGAGUAAAUAACCGUGUCCAGUUUUGGAGCAGGACAAGGAAAUGUCAGGUGCAUUUACCACCCCUCCUCCAAAGCAGAACGUGGUUAUGAUUCAAACAUUUAAAAGAAAACCGUUGGGAAGUGUGUCUGAACCCUGUGAGACAAUUAAAACGCAGAUUAUUCCUGCCCAGACUUGAAUCCCGGGAUCAUUAUGUUGGAAAAGAGCUCCCAGAUCAUCGAGUCCAACCUGGCUUGUCACCCGGCCCAGAGCACUGCGUGCCACAUCCAGGCAUUCCUUGGACAGCUCCAGGGGUGGGCACUCCACCACUGUCAGUAGUUUAACUUCAUGGAAUCUCCUCUCUUGGAAGGGACCCACGAGGAUCAGCCUCACUUUCCUCCAGCUGAUCAUUCCACGUGCCCUCAGCCUCUCCUCACAGCCUUCCCCUCCAGCCCCUUCGCCAUCUUCAUAGCCAAAAAAAAGCUCCUUCCAAAUCCGUGCUGGGUUUUUGAGGUUAAUGUCUUUAACUCGCUCUUUUCCACGUGUCCAUGCCUCUGUUUGCCCUUGAAUGGAGGAGUUGCUGCAGGAUUUCAGUGUGUGAAGCAAUCCCUCCCCCAGCAGUGUUUGGACAGUGUUCGUACCUGGAUGGAUGCGCUGGGCUGGGCGGACAGGCAGGGUGCAGGUGCAGGUUUUAGCAGGCCUGGAGCUCUGGGAGCAGCAGCCAGGAUGAACUCAGCAGCUGUUGUAACCUCCUGGUUUGGUAACUUCUGCAUGUAGUUAUUAUCAGUGAUUUGGGACCGGCCCCUCAGCAAGCCAAGCACUCCCCCUCACUUCUGCAGCAGCUGGGAUUUAGCACUGGAGACCAUUAACUAACACCAAAAACAUUCUCUUCAGCUCCUUCAUGAAUCCUCAGAGGAGGAUUCUUUAUGUGAAAGACAUAUCUAUAUCUAUGUAUUAAUGUCUACAGAGAUAUAAAUACAAGUGUCCAUGCCCAGAUUUUCCA